ACGGCCAUACCAUGCUGAAUAUACCGGUUCUCGUUAGAUCACCUAAGCCAAGCAUCAUUGGGCGCGGCCAGUACUUGGG